GGGCAGCACGGACUUCGGUUCUGGUGGCGAGUGGCGAACGGGUGACUAUAACUCUGAACGUGCCUAGUAGCGGGGGAUAACUACGCCAAAGCGUBGCUAAUACCGCAUACGCCCUACGGGGGAAAGCAGGGGAUCGCAAGACCUUGCACUAUUAGAGCGGCCGAUAUCGGAUUAGCUAGUUGGUGGGGUAACGGCUCACCAAGGCGACUAUCCGUAGCUGGUUUGAGAGGACGACCAGCCACACUGGGACUGAGACACGGCCCAGACUCCUACCGGAGGCAGCAGUGGGGAAUUUUGGACACUGGGGGCAACCCUGAUCCACCAAUGCCGCGUGUGCGAAGAAGGCCUUCGGGUUGUAAAGCACUUUUGUUCGGGAAGAAAGCGCCUGG
rnacentral:rRNA from 1 species